rnacentral:rRNA from 1 species
UAGGGAAUAUUGGACAAUGGGCGAAAGCCUGAUCCAGCAAUGCCGCGUGAGUGAUGAAGGCCUUAGGGUUGUAAAGCUCUUUUACCCGGGAUGAUAAUGACAGUACCGGGAGAAUAAGCCCCGGCUAACUCCGUGCCAGCAGCCGCGGUAAUACGGAGGGGGCUAGCGUUGUUCGGAAUUACUGGGCGUAAAGCGCACGUAGGCGGCGAUUUAAGUCAGAGGUGAAAGCCCGGGGCUCAACCCCGGAAUAGCCUUUGAGACUGGAUUGCUUGAAUCCGGGAGAGGUGAGUGGAAUUCCGAGUGUAGAGGUGAAAUUCGUAGAUAUUCGGAAGAACACCAGUGGCGAAGGCGGCUCACUGGACCGGCAUUGACGCUGAGGUGCGAAAGCGUGGGGAGCAAACA